GACGAACGCCGGCGGCGUGCUUAACACAUGCAAGUCGAACGCUGAAGCUCAGCUUGCUGGGUGGCUGAGUGGCGAACGGGUGAGUAACACGUGAGUAACCUGCCCUCUUCUUUGGGAUAACGCCCGGAAACGGGUGCUAAUACUGGAUAUUCACUGAUUCUCGCAUGGGGGUUGGUGGAAAGGUUUUUUCUGGUGGGGUAUGGGCUCGCGGCCUAUCAGCUUGUUGGUGGGGUGAUGGCCUACCAAGACUUUGACGGGUAGCCGGCCUGAGAGGGUGACCGGUCACAUUGGGACUGAGAUACGGCCCAGACUCGUACGGGAGGCAGCAGUGGGGAAUAUUGCACAGUGGGCGAAAGCCUGAUGCAGCGACGCCGCGUGAGGGAUGGAGGCCUUCGGGUUGUAACCCUCUUUCGCUCAUGGUCAAGCCGCAGCUUUGGGUUGUGGUGAGGGUAGUGGGUAAAGAAGCGCCGGCUAACUACGUG
rnacentral:rRNA from 1 species